CCUAAAUCCCUGCCAGGUCGAGCGACUGAUUAGAAGCUUGCUUCUAUGACGUUAGCGGCGGACGGGUGAGUAACACGUGGGCAACCUGCCUGUAAGACUGGGAUAACUCCGGGAAACCGGAGCUAAUACCGGAUAACAUUUUUUCUUGCAUAAGAGAAAAUUGAAAGAUGGUUUCGGCUAUCACUUACAGAUGGGCCCGCGGUGCAUUAGCUAGUUGGUGAGGUAACGGCUCACCAAGGCAACGAUGCAUAGCCGACCUGAGAGGGUGAUCGGCCACACUGGGACUGAGACACGGCCCAGACUCCUACGGGAGGCAGCAGUAGGGAAUCUUCCGCAAUGGACGAAAGUCUGACGGAGCAACGCCGCGUGAGUGAUGAAGGCUUUCGGGUCGUAAAACUCUGUUGUUAGGGAAGAACAAGUACAAGAGUAACUGCUUGUACCUUGACGGUACCUAACCAGAAAGCCACGGCUAACUACGUGCCAGCAGCCGCGGUAAUACGUAGGUGGCAAGCGUUAUCCGGAAUUAUUGGGCGUAAAGCGCGCGCAGGCGGUUUCUUAAGUCUGAUGUGAAAGCCCACGGCUCAACCGUGGAGGGUCAUUGGAAACUGGGGAACUUGAGUGCAGAAGAGAAAAGCGGAAUUCCACGUGUAGCGGUGAAAUGCGUAGAGAUGUGGAGGAACACCAGUGGCGAAGGCGGGCUUUUUGGUCUGUAACUGACGCUGAGGCGCGAAAGCGUGGGGAGCAAACCAGGAUUAGGAUACCCUGGGGAGCCCACGCCGUAAACGGAUGGAAUGCUAAGGGGUUA
rnacentral:rRNA from 1 species